rnacentral:misc_RNA from 1 species
AAGUCGUAACAAGGUUUCCGUAGGUGAACCUGCGGAAGGAUCAUUAACACGUAUCCAACGUUAAACCCCCCUGUGAACCUUUAGUGUGCUCCCUCAUUCUGUUGGAACGUGGCAAUCCCUGGUAAAUCAUCGCCGAACAGUUUUGAUUCAGGGACUUCUGCAAAGAGUGCUGGUUGUAGCGCGAGGCAAGUGGCCUGGCAUUCCUCUGCUUGUUAGUGUCUGAAAGUGUCACUGGCUCUGUAAGAAUGGCGCAGUCACGAUCGCUAGAGGCCGACACGGCCGGCGACCGGGUCAGCGAGCUCUGCUCCCACUGUUACGACAAACCUCUGUUCCCCUCUAGUGAAAGCUAUUGGGUUAUAACUAAACGACUGUUAACAAUGGAUAUCUCGAUUCUC